rnacentral:rRNA from 1 species
AGCUGAAAGACGGCAUCUCGCUGUCACUUACAGAUGGGCCCGCGGCGCAUUAGCUAGUUGGUGAGGUAACGGCUCACCAAGGCAACGAUGCGUAGCCGACCUGAGAGGGUGAUCGGCCACACUGGGACUGAGACACGGCCCAAACUCCUACGGGAGGCAGCAGUAGGGAAUCUUCCGCAAUGGACGAAAGUCUGACGGAGCAACGCCGCGUGAGUGAUGAAGGUUUUCGGAUCGUAAAGCUCUGUUGUUAGGGAAGAACAAGUACAAGAGUAACUGCUUGUACCUUGACGGUACCUAACCAGAAAGCCACGGCUAACUACGUGCCAGCAGCCGCGGUAAUACGUAGGUGGCAAGCGUUGUCCGGAAUUAUUGGGCGUAAAGCGCGCGCAGGCGGUCCUUUAAGUCUGAUGUGAAAGCCCACGGCUCAACCGUGGAGGGUCAUUGGAAACUGGGGGACUUGAGUGCAGAAGAGAAGAGUGGAAUUCCACGUGUAGCGGUGAAAUGCGUAGAGAUGUGGAGGAACACCAGUGGCGAAGGCGACUCUUUGGUCUGUAACUGACGCUGAGGCGCGAAAGCGUGGGGAGCAAACAGGAUUAGAUACCCUGGUAGUYCMCGCCGUAAACGAUGAGUGSUAAGUGUUAGAGGGUUUYCGCCCUUUAGUGSUGCAGCAAACGCAUUAAGCMCUYCGCCUGGGGAGUWCGGCCGCAAGGSUGAAACUCAAAGGAAUUGACGGGGGCCCGCACMAGCGGUGGAGCAWGUGGUUUAAUUYGAAGCAACGSGAAGAACCUUWCCMGGUYUUGACAUYCUUUGACMMUYCUAGAGAUAGGACGUUUCCCUUYGGGGGACMGAGUGACAGGUGGUGCAUGGUUGUUGUCAGCUUGUGUUGUGAGAUGUUGGGUUAAGUCCCGCAACGAGCGCCACCCUUGAUUUUAGUUGCCAGCCUUAAGUUGGGCCCUUUAAGGUGGCUGCCGGUGACAAACCGGAGGAAGGUGGGGAAGACGUCAAAUCAUCAUGCCCCUUAUGACCUGGGCUACACACGUGGUACAAUGGAUGGUACAAAGGGCAGCAAAACCGCGAGGUUGAGCAAAUUCCAUAAAACCCUUUUCAGUUUGGAUUGUAGGGUGCAACUUGCCUACAAGAAGCUGGAAUCGCUAGUAAUCGCGGAUCAGCAUGCCGCGGGGAAUACGUUCCCGGGCC